UCCAAUCCAGAAAUUACCAAAAUAUCCACAAAAUCAGAAAUUAUGAAAUCACCCUCAAAUUUUAAAAAAAUUCCAAAAUGUCCUCGCUAACCAAUGGUGACUCGAAUUCGUGCGACGGUGAUCGAGAGGGUUGUGAUAGAAACAUUAUGUCUCGCUGAAUCCAACAGUUGUGGUGGUGGUGUGCUCCAACGUGCAGCCACGAUGGCAAAUUGGGAUUGACAGCCGUGAGAACUCCAACGGCUGCUUGUGGUCAGUCAAAUUUUAAAGUGGCUACCAUGAGGGACAAAACCAGUGAAAUUGCACGACCCAACUCCGGUGAAAUUGUACCAAAUCGAGGUGGCAAUUUGCCGUGGCUUUUCAUAGUUCUGGCCAUUUCCCAAUGGCAGUGAUGGCAUGGGAUGACUGAAAACAUCUACUAGUUUUGUUGGUGGCCACUAAUCUGGGUGAUGUGGCCGAAAAUGUAAACGACAGUCGAGUCAAAUUUUGGGUUCGAGUUUACCUGCUUCGGCGAGCCUGGUU
rnacentral:lncRNA from 1 species